rnacentral:tRNA from 1 species
GGGGCUGUAGCUCAGCUGGGAGAGCGCGUGAAUGGCAUUCACGAGGUCGGCGGUUCGAUCCCGCUCAGCUCCACCA